AUGCCCACGAGGCUCAAGCAAUACAACAACUAUUCCAUCAAAUCCCUCUCUCCCUUCCAACAGACUUUCCUAGAGAUUUGUUCAAAAAGAUACAUGGUUGAAAGUGCGUUCCUAGAUGCUAAAAGUCUGUCGUCAGAUUUUCAGCCUUUUCGAAAUGAAUAUACCGAAGAAGAAAAGAAACGGCGCGUUUUGCUUCGAAAAUUAGCCCCUCUCUCUCGCGCGCUAGGCAGCUUUCCCAGCGCCCCCACGCGGUCUCUCCGUCUUCGAUCCCCAUUCAGAGCCCGCGAUUCCGACAAACAUCGGACAAUCGCCACUAUAUUUCCACUCGGCCGAUCCUCCAUCCAGUCGCGCCACACCAAAUUUCCUCCGAGGAGAGCGAUGGCUAGAAAGGAUCUGUCUUCUCGCCGGCGCCGGCUCUCCCUCCGUCGGCCGCGCGAUGAGGACCGCCUCAAUGCCCUCUCCGACGACCUGAUCCUCCAGAUCGUGGGCCGUCUCGACACCCGCAGCGCGCUUGGCGCCGCCGCGCUCUGCAGGCGCUGGGCCCACCUCCCUCGCGAGCUCCCCGCCCUGGAUCUCAAGGUCAGCGACGCGCUCCCGCCGCGCUACCGACGGUGGCUCGACCUCCUCAACGAGGCAGUCACAUCGGACGCGCUACGCGGGUGUAGCCGGAGGCUACGCCCCAUCGUCGGACGGUACGAGCGCCGCGCCAUGCGCGCCAUGGUCAGCUCCGUCAGGAGCCUCAGGGCCCGCCGCCACCGGCGUGCGUGCAGCAGGCUGUCGCUCGAGUUCUUCGCGUUCAGCACCUCCGCCGCCAUCAACCGCUUGGUCGUGGACGCCGUAGAUUCCUGGGGUGUUGAGGACCUCGAGGUCGUCGCCAAGUCGACGGAGCCGAUCACACAUCUUCGUCCGGUCUACACGUUCCCCCGUGGUCGCAUCAGCAGGAAGCCCGGGGAGUCCCGCCUCCGAAGCCUCAAGCUCGUCAACUGCCUGCCCCCGCCGCUGGAGGGGUUCACCGCGCUCACCACGCUCCUGCUGCGGGACCUGCCCUGCUCCACACCUGCGGCCGUCUACGAGGGCGUGGUCGCCGCGUGCCCGCAGCUGCGGGUUCUGCAUCUCGUCUCCUGCUCCUUCGACAAGGAUACAGCCCGUUGGGUGGUGUUCGACGCGCCCAUGUCAGAAAUCAGAGAGCUUGUCGCUGACGGCCCGUUGAUGACGGUCAAGCUCCGCUCUCUCCCCAAGCUCGAGAGCCUCACUGCCGUGGAUGCCAGGGUUCUGUUGUGCUCCGACGCCGACGUCCCUUGCCUUGCGCAUGUGAGCCUCGUCUUCUCCAUUGGACCACUGGACAACCACUCCAUUGUGAACCACUUGAUUGCGUUGUUCAUGCUCUCGUUGAAAGACGCGGCCAUCAGCUUGAGGAAUCUCAUUCUGCGCUUUACUGGGCCAGAGAUGUGGAUUCUGCCCAAUCUGAAGAAUCAGUUUUCUCUGAUGCCCAAUCUGAAGAAGCUGCUUGUUGCGGAUGUGCCAUCCUCCUGGGAUGUCUCAUGGCCGCGCAUCCUCAUCCAGGCAGCACCACUGCUGGAGAGUCUUCAUGUUCAUGUUUCCCAGUCCCAGUCCCAGUCCCAGUGCCAACAUGAGGAGGAGCCAGGUCGUCAGAAUAUCUCCUCCUACUUGCAGAUGCAGCAGCCAUCAUCAUCAUCUUCUUGGCAGCGCCACCGCCAUUUGAAGGAGCUGGUGGUUGUUGGCUUUCAGAGCACGAGCAGGAUACAUCAUCAGCUAAUGUACCUCGUGAGGUUCGCCGUGGAUACUUCGACGGCGCUGCGCCGUGUUGCGGUGUUCAAGCAUGGUCAUGUCGAGGACAAGGGGGGCCCCUGGGACUGGGAGAUGGUGAGCAAGCAAAGCACCUGGAGCAACGAGGAGAAACUUGCCGUCCUGGACUGCUGUUCGACUUCGACACCCCAAAUUGAAGUGCUGCUAGGCUGA
rnacentral:rRNA from 1 species